rnacentral:rRNA from 1 species
AAUAGAUACCCGGGUAGUCCACGCCGUAAACGAUGAGUGCUAAGUGUUAGGGGUUCCGCCCCUUAGUGCUGCAGCUAACGCAUUAAGCACUCCGCCUGGGGAGUACGGUCGCAAGACUGAAACUCAAAGGAAUUGACGGGGGCCCGCACAAGCGGUGGAGCAUGUGGUUUAAUUCGAAGCAACGCGAAGAACCUUACCAGGUCUUGACAUCCCAUUGACCACUAUGGAGACAUAGUUUUCCCUUCGGGGACAACGGUGACAGGUGGUGCAUGGUUGUCGUCAGCUCGUGUCGUGAGAUGUUGGGUUAAGUCCCGCAACGAGCGCAACCCUUGUUCUUAGUUGCCAUCAUUUAGUUGGGCACUCUAAGGAGACUGCCGGUGACAAACCGGAGGAAGGUGGGGAUGACGUCAAAUCAUCAUGCCCCUUAUGACCUGGGCUACACACGUGCUACAAUGGACGGUACAAACGGUUGCCAACCCGCGAGGGGAGCUAAUCCGAUAAAACCGUUCUCAGUUCGGAUUGUAGGCUGCAACUCGCCUACA